rnacentral:rRNA from 1 species
GAUAAGCCAUGCAAAUUUAAAUUUAAGCCGGUUUCGGCGAAAUUGUGGAAGGCUUCGUAUAAGAGGGAUAAAGAAAGAGCGGGGAAAAAUUGACCUGGAUAAUGAAAGGAAACCUUUCAAUAAUACAGUAGUCAUAGGCAGAACUUCUUAGGAAUAGAUCUGUCUAUACAUGCUAGUUUUCUAGCGACCCCUCAUCUGACCCUUACGUAUCACUUUGACUUCAGGGUAAGGACCUGAAGUGAGUACAACGCGUACAGAGAAUUAGGGUUUGAUUCUGGAGAGGGAGCAUGAGAGAUUGCUACCACUUUCAAGAAAGGCAGCAGGUACGCAAAUUGCCCAAUGGGGAAUUCCCGAGGCAGUGAACACCAAUAACAAAGAGAGUCAUCUAAAUGAUUUUCUAUUGGAAUGAGAUAUGAGAAAGACAAAAAGCGAGAAACAAGUGAAGGGCAAGUCUGGUGCCAGCAGCCGCGGUAAUACCAGCUUCACUAGCGUAUGUUAAAGCUGCUGCAGUUAAAACGCUCGUAGUUGUGGUUUUUUCAUUGGGCUUGCAGGGUUGAGAAAUCUUCUCUGCUUGACCUUUGAUUACAAUUUUGGUCACUGGUUAACUCCAAUGGCCAUUAUAAACCUUGAAAAAAUAUUAACGCUCAAAAUUGGACUUACGUCCAAGUUCUUUCUGCAUGGGAUUUUGGAAUAUGAGCGUAAACGAAUAGUUUACGCUAAUGACAUUCGAGGAUGAACGAGGCAGCUCAUACUAUUUCGUCAGAGGUGAAAUUCUUGGAUUGAAGUAUGAUGAACUGAUGCGAAGGCUUUCUGCAAGUGCUUUCCUGUCAAUCAAGAACGAAAGUAAGGGGAUCGAAGACGAUCAGAUACCGUCGUAGUCUUUACUGUAAAUUCUGCCGACAAAGGAAACGGGAAUGAUUUAGAAAGUUGGAGCAAUCUGGCUUUUAAUGUCCUUCUGUUUCUCCCACGAAAGUUCAAGUCUUUGGGUUCUGGGGGGAGUAUGUUCGCAAGGCCGAAACUUAAAGGAAUUGACGGAAGGGCACCACCAGGCGUGGAACCUGCGGCUUAAUUUGACCCAACACGGGGAAACUUACCAGGUCCGAACAGCAAGAGGAUUGACAGAUUGAAAGCUCUUUCAUGAUUUGUUGGGUGGUGGUGCAUGGCCGUUCUUAGUUGGUGGUGCGAGCUGUCUGGUUGAUUCCGUUAACGAACGAGACCUUCGCUGAAUAAUAGAAGGCUGCAGAUAUUGCAUCAAGGGCAAGGUGCACGUAUGAGGUCAUCCUUCGGGACCCUUUUACUCGGUAUCUUGCUUGCUUUUCUGCAGUGCUUCUUCUUUUCAGGACUAUUGGGGAAAACCCAAAGGAAGUUGGAGGCAAAAACAGGUCUGUGAUGCCCUUAGAUGUUCUGGGCUGCACGCGCGUUGCAAUGAUAAAGUCAACAAGUUUCUACUUCCUCGAAAGGGGUGGUUAAUCUCUUAAACUUUAUCGUACCAAGGAUCGCUGAUUGCAACUAUUCGGCGUGAAUUAGGAAUGCCUUGUAAUAC